GACGAACGCUGUCGGCGUGCUUAACACAUGCAAGUCGAACGGAAAGGCCCUGCUUUUGUGGGGUGCUCGAGUGGCGAACGGGUGAGUAACACGUGAGUAACCUGCCCUUGACUUUGGGAUAACUUCAGGAAACUGGGGCUAAUACCGGAUAGGAGCUCCUGCUGCAUGGUGGGGGUUGGAAAGUUUCGGCGGUUGGGGAUGGACUCGCGGCUUAUCAGCUUGUUGGUGGGGUAGUGGCUUACCAAGGCUUUGACGGGUAGCCGGCCUGAGAGGGUGACCGGCCACAUUGGGACUGAGAUACGGCCCAGACUCCUACGGGAGGCAGCAGUGGGGAAUAUUGCACAAUGGGCGGAAGCCUGAUGCAGCAACGCCGCGUGCGGGAUGACGGCCUUCGGGUUGUAAACCGCUUUCGCCUGUGACGAAGCGUGAGUGACGGUAAUGGGUAAAGAAGCACCGGCUAACUACGUGCCAGCAGCCGCGGUGAUACGUAGGGUGCGAGCGUUGUCCGGAUUUAUUGGGCGUAAAGGGCUCGUAGGUGGUUGAUCGCGUCGGAAGUGUAAUCUUGGGGCUUAACCCUGAGCGUGCUUUCGAUGCGGGUUGACUUGAGGAAGGUAGGGGGGAAUGGAAUUCCUGGUGGAGCGGUGGAAUGCGCAGAUAUCAGGAGGAACACCAGUGGCGAAGGCGGUUCUCUGGGCCUUUCCUGACGCUGAGGAGCGAAAGCGUGGGGAGCGAACAGGCUUAGAUACCCUGGUAGUCCACGCUGUAAACGGUGGGUACUAGGUGUGGGGUCCAUUCCACGGGUUCCGUGCCGUAGCUAACGCUUUAAGUACCCCGCCUGGGGAGUACGGCCGCAAGGCUAAAACUCAAAGGAAUUGACGGGGCCCCGCACAAGCGGCGGAGCAUGCGGAUUAAUUCGAUGCAACGCGUAGAACCUUACCUGGGUUUGACAUGGAUCGGGAGUGCUCAGAGAUGGGUGUGCCUCUUUUGGGGUCGGUUCACAGGUGGUGCAUGGCUGUCGUCAGCUCGUGUCGUGAGAUGUUGGGUUAAGUCCCGCAACGAGCGCAACCCUUGUUCACUGUCGCCAGCACGUUAUGGUGGGGACUCAGUGGAGACCGCCGGGGUCAACUCGGAGGAAGGUGGGGAUGACGUCAAGUCAUCAUGCCCCUUAUGUCAGGGCUUCACGCAUGCUACAAUGGCUGGUACAGAGAGUGGCGAGCCUGUGAGGGUGAGCGAAUCUCGGAAAGCCGGUCUCAGUUCGGAUUGGGGUCUGCAACUCGACCUCAUGAAGUCGGAGUCGCUAGUAAUCGCAGAUCAGCAACGCUGCGGUGAAUACGUUCCCGGG
rnacentral:rRNA from 1 species